ensembl:lncRNA
CCUCCCUCCCUCCCCUCUCCCCUCUCCCUCCCUCUCCCUCUCUCCCUCCCUCUCCCUCUCCCCCCCUCUCUCUCUCCUUCUGUCUAACAGAGGAAGAGCCCAGGGAGAUGUUCAAUGUAUUUGUUUCCACAUGGUGACCAACCCAACAGGUUAAAACUCUGUACUGAAUAAGACACUGUAUAAUAAUUAUACCAAUAGAAGUAUGUUGUAAGUGCUUCUGAUUCCCACAAGAGGAACAUGUUCAGAGGGUUAAAACACAUCAGUCUUCAGAACACUGUCAACAACUGGUUUGGUCUGUUACGUAGAGCAUCUGAAGACAGGACAGAAACAUGCUGUUCAGAAGGUCUAUGGAGGGAAAACAGUUGAUGACUGAACAUGUGACUUCUUAUCCAGGUCUCCAUUGGUUCAACUGUUUCAGUUUAAACUGAGUUUACAGUGAUCUGCCCGAUACGGUAUGGUGGCCUGGGAGGGACACUGGUCUUUUAAAGGCUCAUGUUACUCUUAGGGACGACUGUACUCUACACCUCUUGUCUGUCUACCACACUCCCAUACCUACAUUCCUAUAUAAUGGGUACUAUGUUGGUAUCUCUCUGUUUAUGAUUUGUGACACAGAGGUCAUAUGGAGUUUUGCUCAUUGUUUUUGUGUAAAUACUGAUACUGUGGUGAUGAUAUGAAACAUGUGAUUGGAUAGGAGUGGUGUGGUGAAUCUAAAGGAUUUGAUUGGACGGGAGAGAAAGUGGUGUGGUGAAUCUAAAGGAUUUGAUUGGACAGGAGAGAAUGUGGUGUGGUGAAUCUAAAGGAUUUGAUUGGACAGGAGAGAAAGUGGUGUGGUAAAUCUAAAUGAUUUGAUUGGACAGGAGAGAAUGUGGUGUGGUAAUUCUAAUGGAUUUGAUUGGACAGGAGAGAAAGAGGUGUGGUGAUUCUAAUGGAUUUGAUUGGACGGGAGAGAAAGAGGUGUGGUGAAUCUGAAGGAUUUGAUUGGACGGGAGAGAAAGAGGUGUGGUGAUUCUGAAGGAUUUGAUUGGACGGGAGAGAAAGAGGUGUGGUGAAUCUGAAGGAUGGCUGCAGUGCCUUGUCAGAGAGCAGUUGUUGUUUUUUGACACGGUAUUUGGUUCCAGUCUGCACCAUUUUAGUAAAAGUUGUACAAAACUAAACCGCGUGCCUCAUCUCCUUCCUUUCAUCCUCCUACAUUGCCAUUUAGCCAAGGCUUUUAUUCAAAGCCACUCACAGUGCACCUGCAUUUUUUUAUACACAUGUGACAACAAUUGUUGUUGUGAUGCAACUGAUAUUUAUGUGAAGGUUUGUCCCCCAACACUUUUUAUGCAGAUAACCUGCCACUCUUAUCACGACUGCUGUGCCAAACGCGUUGUACAUCGGCUGUACAACUUGUGUACGUGGCCUUAUAGGGAGAACCUCCAUUGCUGUUUCCGUGAUCCCUCUUUCGUCCCUCUCUCUCUCUCCUCACCGCCUCCUCAAAACCCAUUGAAUGAGAAGGUCAGAGGUCCCUCCUGUUUGGCAUUCUCAUCCAACAGGGUUUUGAGAAAGAGGCGAGGAGAAAGGGCUUUGAGGAAUCCAGGAAAUGCAAUUGUGAUUCUCCCUGUUGUUUGUGAGUUGUGAGUCACAGGGCCCCACCACUCAGACGUGUAACAGGGACAAUCAUUUGAUGGUAAAUCAACAGUGUUUAUUAAUGUGUAAAACAAGGGUCUAUCAGGAGGCAGAGUACAGAACAUUAAGCUACAACACUAUAAAACAUCAGAGACAGGAGAUAAACAACAACACAAACAUUGUCAUGUCAUGGGUGGGUGUGGAUGUCUGUCUGUCUGUCUGUCUGUCUGUCUGUCUGUCUGUCUGUCUGUCUGUCUGUCUGUCUGUCUGUAUGUAUGUAUGUAUGUAUGUAUGUAUGUAUGUAUGUAUGUAUGUAUGUAUGUAUGUAU